GUUUUUAUAGUUUAAAAAAAACAUUGGUCUUGUAAACCAAAAUUAUUUAAAAUAAUUUAAAACA
rnacentral:tRNA from 1 species